GAUGAACGCUGGCGGCGUGCUUAACACAUGCAAGUCGAACGAUGAUGCCAGCUUGCUGGUGGAUUAGUGGCGAACGGGUGAGUAACACGUGAGUAACCUGCCCUUAACUCUGGGAUAAGCCUGGGAAACUGGGUCUAAUACCGGAUAUGACUCCUCAUCGCAUGGUGGGGGGUGGAAAGCUUUAUUGUGGUUUUGGAUGGACUCGCGGCCUAUCAGCUUGUUGGUGAGGUAAUGGCUCACCAAGGCGACGACGGGUAGCCGGCCUGAGAGGGUGACCGGCCACACUGGGACUGAGACACGGCCCAGACUCCUACGGGAGGCAGCAGUGGGGAAUAUUGCACAAUGGGCGAAAGCCUGAUGCAGCGACGCCGCGUGAGGGAUGACGGCCUUCGGGUUGUAAACCUCUUUCAGUAGGGAAGAAGCGAAAGUGACGGUACCU
rnacentral:rRNA from 1 species